UCCUCUUUUUUCUCUCAAAACUUUCUCGGAUAAGUGAAGGAUGGGAGAAGUGAAUGGGAAUAGGGAAGAAAAGUAGAGGGAGAGGGCUUUAAAUAGCCAUGGAGGGUAAAUUGCAUACAUGGCAGAUGGAUGGUGGAGAGGGGAAAGCGCAGCCAGCGACGGUAACUGACGGGACAGCUGACCAGCAUGAUGGCUUAUGGGACACGAGUGUGUGUAGGCACAAGCGUGCGCAAGCACACAGAUGCACGCAAUGUGAUCGUGUGUUAUGCGACGUGAUUUAUGAAGAGGCCCACGCAAUGGGACAUUGCACUUUGCAUGCGAUGUAGCAUGUGCGCAAGCCUGUGGAUAGUUCACCU
rnacentral:lncRNA from 1 species